UCAAUCUCUCAAACUUGAGAAUACUUACCCAAACCUAGUCUCUCCUUCAACCCAGGAAUCAUUUGCAUUCGCGUCCGGCUCUAUGGAGCUGUCCAACAACCACUCAAAAGAUUAGAGGAAGCUUGACUAUUUUCGAUUGGGUUAUUGGCCGGGAUUCAGACUUGUACUGUUGCUUGUUAUAGCAUUGCUGUUGGAGGAGGGUUUGGGUCUUACUAGUUGGGUUUGAACAGGAAGACUUAUGAAAUUCUUCACAGUUUGAGCCUCAUCUCUGGUACUUCAUUAUUGGUCUCAUUUAUUCCGCCCUCUCUUUGUUUGGUGGGUUCCAAAGCUUAGACAUUAUGCCUCAUCAGUGCCCAUUAUUCUCAUGGGAACUAAACUAGAUAAGUGAUACAAAAAGAAUACGUUUGUAUGAGCAAUUAGGAGUGGCUAAGUGACAGAUUUUGUUUAAGCAAG